ACCCAGCACCUCGAGUGGUCAGGAGGUUUAUUGGGCCUAAAGCAUCCGUAGCCGGUUACAUAGGUUUUCGGUUAAAUCUAUGCGCUCAACGUAUAGGCCGCCGAAAAUACUGUGCAGCUAGGGAGUGGGAGAGGUACACGGUACUCAAUAGGAAGGGGUAAAAUCCUUUGAUCUAUUGAUGACCACCUGUGGCGAAGGCGGUGUACCAGAACACGUUCGACGGUGAGGGAUGAAAGCUGGGGGAGAAAACCGG
rnacentral:rRNA from 1 species